AAUACAAAAAGGAAAAAGAAAAAAAAUUUACGCAGAAAAUUUAUUUAUUUUCCUCUUUCUCUCGCGAUCAAAGUCUCGAUCUGACAAAGGAAGGUCUGCUUUAAUCGGAGGUUAUAGAAUCAGUGAAAUAUUGGGUCGGAGGCGAUUUGCCUCGGUGGAGAUAUUAUCGGAGGCGACUGUAGCAGAGGCAAUUUGAAUCGUCGUGGAGAUUGUAUCGGUGGCGAUUUGAAGGAGAAGGCGAUUCAAUUGGAAGAAAUUGGAUCAAUUUGAUUGAGAAGGAAACAUUUAGGAGUUUAAUUGAGGAUGAUGACAUGGAUAUGGUACUAGAGGAGGAAAACAACAUGUAUGCCCUUAUAGAAGAAAUGUAUGGACUGAGGGAUGUUAAUAUUUGGUUCCUCUUUCUCUGAACCGCCCUAAAAGCCAGUUAUCAUCGAGCCUUGUCUUAUGGAUUUUCUCUGCAGGCCUGGCUAUCAUCAAUAAACUUGGCCGUUUGUAAGGCUAUUGAUCUGUUGGAAAUGCUAAAGAGAGAAGAGGAAAUGUUCUCUGCAAUAAAGGCAAGACAGUUGAAGGUAGCUUACCUUGGUGUUAGUUCUUUUAAGUUUAAGCUGAUUCACAUUUUAUUUGCUUCUACCA